rnacentral:lncRNA from 1 species
CUCCUAAUAAAAAAGAUAAGAAAACUCUUCCACGUGCCCUCUCCUCUCCUCUCUUUUCUUCUAUCCGAUUUUCUUUCUCCAUGUGCUCUCCUAUAUGUCACAAAUGUAAGACUAACAGGAACUAAAAACAAAGUUGGAGAGGUUCAAAAUUAGUCAGAAGCUGUUGUUGUGGAUUCAGAUUUUAAUGAUACUCGAUAAUUCACGCACUGUAAGUACUAACUCAUCAUUAAAAUAAUCAUCAAGAACC